UACGUAGGGUGCAAGCGUUAUCCGGAAUUAUUGGGCGUAAAGAGCUCGUAGGCGGCCUGUCGCGUCGACUGUGAAAACCCAGGGCUCAACCCUGGGCCUGCAGUCGAUACGGGCAGGCUAGAGUGCAGUAGGGGAGACUGGAAUUCCUGGUGUAGCGGUGAAAUGCGCAGAUAUCAGGAGGAACACCGGUGGCGAAGGCGGGUCUCUGGGCUGUAACUGACGCUGAGGAGCGAAAGCGUGGGGAGCGAACAGG
rnacentral:rRNA from 1 species